UCGCACCUACCGAUUGAAUGGUCCGGUGAAGCCUCGGGAUCGCAUGCAAUUUCUUUUAUUAGAAUUUGACUGUCGAGAACUUGUGUAAACCUUAUCACUUAGAGGAAGGUG
rnacentral:rRNA from 1 species